UUUAUUGGUGAUCACAUAAGCAAAAAGGGGAAGAAAAAAGAAUAUAAAGUGAAGAGCUAGCUAGCUUCCAUGUUUCAAGAACAGAUCAAAACUCAUGCAUGGAUUACAAAAUCAGGAGAAAAAAAAAAAAAAUCAGCCCCAGAUGUGAAAAGGUUCAGAACAGUAGAAAGAAAAUGAAACAAGUGAACCAACCUGAGGCCAUUGAGCAUUAUUCAUGACUUCAAAAGAUCGAGAAAAGGGGAAGAAAAAACAAGUGAUGAUGUCUUCAGAGAAAAAGAGAGGGAGAGAGGGAGAGAGGGAGAGAGAGAGAGAGAUAGAUAAAGGGAGAAUUCACCUCUC
rnacentral:lncRNA from 1 species